rnacentral:pre_miRNA from 1 species
AACAUACUCCCUUCGUUUCAAAAUUCUUGUCUUAGCUUUGUCUAGAAAUGGAAGUAUCUAAAUACUAAAAUGUGACUAGAUACAUUCGUAUCUAGACAAAUUUAAGAUAAUUUUUUUGGAAUGGAGGGAGUAUAUA